AUUAACUCUUCUCUCCAAACAUCAAUACCCACCAAACCUCUCUAAAGACUCCAUCGAUAUCCCCAAAGCUUGUCUUCUUUGCCAUACCCUAAGAGAAAGUACCCAAAUCUGAAAAUUGGAUUUGAGAUCUGAAAAUUUCCCUCGUAUAAACAUUGGAUGGUUUUAUAGUGCUUGCAAUUGAGCAUUUGCAAAAAUGAAGUAAACGAAAUGUCAGACCUAUUAGCCCAAAUUAUCAAGUAUUGCUAACCUCGUCCCUCUGCUGCUUUGAUUCCCAAAUUGCAUUUUGACUUCUCGAUUGCUUGAAGGAUUAGCUGAACCCAAAACGAAAGCUCGACUACUCAACUGCUUGAAGCCAAAAAUUGGGAAAAGAUGAAAGGCAAAAUUUACAACUGGGAAUAACAAUACAAAUAGCAGAUUUGUCGAACUGCAGAAUUCUUCGUUUACUGGUAGUGCAGGAAGAAAUUAUUAUUGGUAGCUGAAGAGAAAUUGUUGCUGGAUUUUCAUGGAUAAUGUAGAUAAAAGUUGGAUGCAUCUCCUAAGAUGGACGGAUGAGUACAUCCGUGGAGUGAAUGUGUCACGACCCCAACCUCGGUCGUGAUGGCGCCCAACACACUGCUAGGCAAGCCUGACCAACUAACAACCUCGACCCAUUUCUUAUACAAUUCAUUAUUAGCUAACACAGUUAAAUUGCCAAUUUAUCAUAAUAAAAGUUUAGGACAAUGAGUCAAAUAUGAGGAAAUUCAAAUGAUAAUGCCACUACAUAACCCAUACAGAUCUGGUGUCACAAGUCUCGAGCCUCUAGCACAAGCUUAACAGCCUAAUACAUAAUCAGGUUAGGAAAUGCGGAUAAAACGAAAGGAUAGAAGGGAGAGAUCCUAGCUACGGACGCCGUGCAGCUACCUCGAUGCUCCCUGAUAUAAACUGAUCGAUUGAAUAUACUCUCUCAGCCUCUAGAACACCUGGAUCUGCACGCAAGGUGCAGGGAGUAAUGUGAGUACUCCGACCCAGUGAGUAAUAAGCAUA